UUGUGUACAGAAACUGAAAUGACAGCUGGUGAUUCCCUGAAGCAGGAUGCAGGAUACAGGAUGCUGGAUGAAGGAUGCAGGAUGCAGGAUGCAGGGUUGCCGGGGAUGUAGAAGGGGCAGGGAAAAGGGCAUCAUUCUGCCUUGUGAUCCCUAUAGAAUCAGUGGGAUGGGUGACACAGGACUGUAGCUGGCUACUUUGAGAAGUGUUGGUGGGCUCUGGAUUGCUGGGGUGGUCCUUGGCUGACCAGUAAUGGCCAGGCAACUUAGAAAGAGGUCUAGGUCCCACUGCAGGUACGGAGGUGCACAGUCUCAGAGUUGGAAGGCCAUGCCAUCUUUGGGGUGACAGAGUUGCAGGGGCCAUGAGACCAGUCUGACAUUGGGGGACAUCUUCAUGGGGAGGACAAACAUGAGCCCCUGGACACAGGGAUCCCCUCCCCCCUGUGCUCCUCAACAACGCCUGGAUGUACAGGUCGCAAGCUCUGGUCACUUUAUUACCUUACCACAUCGAGCUCUCAGCCUUUGGGUCCUCUUGAGGUGAUGUGGAAGCCUGAGGUCAGGAGCAGGAUACUGCUGCGAUGGUGGCCCAGCUGGACAGUGAAUUCUGAUCCUCAUAGAGCCAGACAAUCUUGGCUUGUAAUUCAAUGUCAUUGCAAUGACCCAGUUCCAGCUGGGCAAAGCCUAUCCCUCCCUCAACCUCUGCUCCCAGAGGAUAGAUCCUCAGGGCAGCAGGAGACCCUUGGGGAAGAAACCUAAUGCAUUCCUGUCCCUGUGGACACAGUAACACACACAAUGCAGAUGCUCCUUCGCCAAACCUACCUCCCAUCAUGUAUCACCUCUUGCCUGACUACUGGGGAGAGUUCCCUAAACUUGUUGGUGAGUCAGCUCUCAGAAUUUCUUGUCCCUUAUCCUGGGGCCUAACACACACACACACACACACACACACACACACACACACACACACACACACUUCCAUUGGUCCCUCCCUUCCUGGUUUUCUUCCUGGGCCUGUCUGCAUGUUUGUAUAGUGAUUCAGCUGUGUGUUAUGUCCUCUAGGUGCUGUGGGAGACCUGCCCCACCCUUGGGAGUCCAAAUUGCUUCUUUCUUUCCUUCUUUCCUUCUUUCCUUCUUUCCUUCUUUCCUUCUUUCCUUCUUUCCUUCUUUCCUUCUUUCCUUCUUUCCUUCUUUCCUUCCUUCCUUCCUUCCUUCCUUCCUCUCUUCUUCUUCUUCUUCCUCUUUUUCUUUCCUUCUCCUUUUUCUUCCCCUCUCUCUAUCUCUGUCUCUCUUCCUCUCUCUCCCCCAACUCUCUGUUUCUUUGUCUCUGUCUCUGUCUCUGUCUCUCUCUCUCUCUCUCUCGUGCCCAGGUUCUUGUGCAUGUGUCUAUGUGAGACCUUGAGUGCCAUUCCUCAGGUUCUGUCUACCUUGUUUUGGAGACAGGGCCUCUCACUGACCUGGAGUUGGUGAGCCACAAGGAUCCGCCUGCCCCACUUCCC
rnacentral:lncRNA from 1 species